rnacentral:lncRNA from 1 species
AACUAGUCAAUAUCCCAGUAGGAUCUUUCGAUCUUCCACUAACAUAUUGAGUCAGCAAAAACUUCUUAUCUCUGGACCUCAUAGUCGAGAUUAGUUUAGGUUUAAGGUGUUCAUGGAUAGGCCAUAUCAAAUUUGGGUUAGUUCCCACCUUAAACCUUUCAAGGGUUGUCAGGCCUAGGGUUUUAGGUUUUUCCUCUCCUAAAUAGUUGAUUCGCUAAGAAACCCUUAUAAAAUAGUUA